GGAUGAAUAUUGGUCAAUGGGCGUAAGCCUGAACCAGCCAAGUCGCGUGAGGGAUGAAGGUUCUAUGGAUCGUAAACCUCUUUUAUAAGGGAAUAAAGUGCGGGACGUGUCCCGUUUUGUAUGUACCUUAUGAAUAAGGAUCGGCUAACUCCGUGCCAGCAGCCGCGGUAAUACGGAGGAUCCGAGCGUUAUCCGGAUUUAUUGGGUUUAAAGGGUGCGUAGGCGGCCUUUUAAGUCAGCGGUGAAAGUC
rnacentral:rRNA from 1 species